AACGAACGCUGGCGGCAUGCCUAACACAUGCAAGUCGAACGAAACCUUCGGGUCUAGUGGCGCACGGGUGCGUAACGCGUGGGAACCUGCCCUUAGGUUCGGAAUAACUCCCCGAAAGGGGUGCUAAUACCGGAUAAUGUCUUCGGACCAAAGAUUUAUCGCCUUUGGAUGGGCGCGCGUUGGAUUAGCUAGUUGGUAGGGUAAUAGCCUACCAAGGCGAGGAUCCAUAGCUGGUCUGAGAGGAUGAUCAGCCACACUUGGACUGAGACACGGCCCAGACUCUUACGCGAGGGAGGAGUGGGGAAUAGUGGACAAUGGGGGAAAGCCUGAUCCAGCAAUGCCGGGUGAGUGAUGAAGGCCGUAGGGAUGUAAAGCUCUUUUACCCGGGAUGAUAAUGACAGUACCGGGAGAAUAAGCUCCGGCUAACUACGUG
rnacentral:rRNA from 1 species